GCCUGGGUGGCUAAGUUGGUUAAGCGUCUGACUUCGGCUCAGGUUCGUGGGUUCGAGCCCCGCGUUGGGCU